rnacentral:rRNA from 1 species
UACGAAGGGUGCUAGCGUUGUUCGGAAUUACUGGGCGUAAAGCGUACGUAGGCGGCUUAGUAAGUCGAUUGUGAAAGCCCCGGGCUUAACCCGGGAAUUGCAACCGAAACUGCUUUGCUUGAGUUUGGUGGGGGAUGGCAGAAUUCCUAGUGUAGGGGUGAAAUCCGUAGAUAUUAGGAGGAAUACCGGUGGCGAAGGCGGCCAUCUACGCCAAUACUGACGCUAAGGUACGAAAGCGUGGGGAGCAAACAGG